UACGUAGGGGGCGAGCGUUAUCCGGAAUUACCGGGCGUAAAGGGUGCGCAGGCGGCCAUUUAAGUCAGAUGUGAAAGGCUACGGCUUAACCGUAGUUAGCAUUUGAAACUAGAAGGCUUGAGUGCAGUAGAGGAGAGUGGAAUUCCUAGUGUAGCGGUGAAAUGCGUAGAUAUUAGGAGGAACACCAGUGGCGAAGGCGACUCUCUGGACUGCAACUGACGCUGAGGCACGAAAGCGUGGGUAGCGAACAGGAUUAGAUACCCUGGUAGUCCACGCCGUAAACGAUGUCAACUAGCCGUUGGGGGACUUAAUCCUUUAGUGGCGAAGCUAACGCGAUAAGUUGACCGCCUGGGGAGUACGGCCGCAAGGUUAAA
rnacentral:rRNA from 1 species